UUUACAUCCAAUCCAAAAUCCAACAAAGUCCCACAAUCAACUUUAACUCCUAAAUCGUAUCAAACCAUUCCCAAGUCAUAUGCCCUACCCUAAUCCCUCAAUAGUCAUGACAAAUUCCCCACCAUCAACUGUUCCUUUUCCCCAAGGAUCGAACUCUGAAAAUUGAGAUCCCAAAAUGCUGUAAUCGUUCCGAGCGAAUUGAGAAGAUUUCCGAGAAUUCCCAAAUUCCCAAUUCUUUCGCACCCAAACCCUAGCUGCUCAUUUUCUCCUUCCAUAGCCACGACAAUACCCCUCGUUGUAGCUGAGCCUUGUCCCCGAGGCUCAAAAUUGUAAAACUGAAAUUUAAGAACCAAAAAAUCAUCCCACGUAGCGUUCUCGAUACCAAGGUGAGACCACUGAAUCCAUCGGUGUCACCACUCGAUUGUGUCGCUGAAUGACACGUUUAGCCAAAACGAUUGCUGUGUACACUCUGAGAUGUCCGUCGUCUCCUAACUCUGGUGGAUGAACUGAGGGUUUAUAAAACCAAGCCGAGAGCUUCAAAUUCCUCCUCAACGCCACCGUAAACUGUCUGUAGGGCUGGACCUUAAGUCACUUGUACUGGUUUUUUGCCAUCCAAUUUACUGUUGACACUUUUGGAUUGUUUGUUCACUGCUCGUGGGGGAAGGUUCCUCUUCUUUUGCUGCCUUGGUCAUCAAGGCCAAGAUUCUUUGUACAAUUCCAUGCGUUUCCUCUGUGCGAGACUCUAGUGCAUCCAGUCUUUUGUCCAAAGGUUGAGUGGUUGUCGACUGAUUGCCAUCACCACUCUUGAUGUGUAUUUUCUUGAUUUCUAAUGCUUGCUAAUGGAUCAAGAUUAGCUCUAUAUACCAAUUAUAAUGAUUCGAAGAAGAAAAGAUUACAAAAGAGAGAAGAAAGGUAAGAUCCAAAGCAACAAAAGCAAUGUCAUCAAUAAAGGGGGGACACGUUGUCCUGCACGUGGAGGUGAAGGGAAUUUUAGUAAUUUACCCUAAGAUUUAGAUUGUUUCCAAGAUGGUCAACGCCAUUGGCCGACUCAACAACAACAGGUCUUGGUCGAGUGGCGUGGUGUGUCCGGACCCUGACCCUGACCAUGGCUCGAGAGGGCCGAACCAAACAAUUACAUACCUUUCAAGCAAUGCUGAUUCUGGGUUUCACCAAUUUGUAUUCUUCUGCAUUGGCAAACAAAUGAACAAGAAACUUUUCCCAUUGUUCUUCACAAUGAUUGAAGUUUUGAAAAAACCUCAAUCUAUUGAACACUGCAGGGUUUCGGUUCAUUCAAUUAAUUAAUCAUAAGGAGAAAAAAACAUGAAUUUUUUUUUGU